rnacentral:lncRNA from 1 species
AGGCAAUAUGUCAAUAUGAGCACACCCAGACACCAGAGCUCUGUCAGGAAAAACAGUGGCUCUUACAAGUAACCGGAACAUAGGUAGGUCACCUUUUCAUCCUGGUGCUGGAGUGGCAAUAUUACCAGAAUAAAAUCCUGAAAGGAAAAGCAGAUCUGAAAUACUCCAGCAGAAACUCGAACAUGGCACAGACCAGGACAAGAGCUCUAUCAGAGAGAACUGCUGUUGGAGGAGCACUGAGUGUGUGCAACAAAGACACUACUAUUGAAUCUCAUCCCUACUAAUCAUGACAACAUGGGCUGCAUUUUCUUCCUUUACUUUCGUUUCCUUGGCUUGAAUUGGCCUUAAUUUCUCUAACCUCAAACCCAGCAAAAGUGCACAUUUUGAGGUAUUCAGAGAAGUGCUGAGGCACAUCAAGAGCUGCUGGACAUCCAGGAAGAGUCUAAGAGUACAUUUUUCUCAUCUUGAUGGGUCAUUAAGAAUAGUUUCAUGGAGAUUAGUCAACAGAAUUGGAAAGACUUUGAGCCAAAGGCUGUAACAUGUCUUAUGCUUAGUCUUGGGAGGCCAUAUCCUUCAAACACAUACUCCAAACAGAGACUUGCUUUCAUUUCCCUUGAAAAGAUUAUUUCCAUCAGGAACUGCUUUUCUACUAUGCUGCCAAGGCCAGCCACAGGCUGUAAGUCUGUGCUACAAAAUGAUCAGUCAAAGAAUGCUG